rnacentral:rRNA from 1 species
AUCGAACGCUGGCGGCAGGCCUAACACAUGCAAGUCGAGCGAGCGGCGGACGGGUGAGGAAGGUAUGGGGACUGCCUGAUAGCGGGGGAUAACUACUGGAAACGGAGGCGAAUAACGCAUACAGUCGGAUAACCCAUAUGGGAUUAGCUAGUAGGUAAGGUAAUGGCUUACCUAGGCGACGAUCCCGUGCUGAUCUGAGAGGAUGAUCGGCCACACUGGGACUGAGACACGGCCCCGACUCCUACGGAGGCAGCAGUAGGGCAUUUUCGCCAAUGGGCGCAAGCCUGAUCCAGCCAUGCCGCGUGUAUGAAGAAGGCCCUAGGGUUGUAAAGUCCUUUCAGUCGAGAAGCGUUAUCUACAGAGAAAGCCCCGGCUAACUCCGUGCCAGCAGCCGCGGUAAUUC